rnacentral:rRNA from 1 species
AUUGAACGCUGGCGGCAGGCCUAACACAUGCAAGUCGAACGAGUGGCGGACGGGUGAGUAAUGUCUGGGAAACUGCCCGAUGGAGGGGGAUAACUACUGGAAACGGUAGCUAAUACCGCAUACCAUCGGAUGUGCCCAGAUGGGAUUAGCUAGUAGGUGGGGUAACGCCUCACCUAGGCGACGAUCCCUAGCUGGUCUGAGAGGAUGACAAGACACACUGGAACUGGGACACGGUCCAUAGGCAGACGGGAGGAAGCAGUGGGGAAUAUUGAAGAAUGGGCGCGAGCCUGAUGAAGCCAUGCCGAGUGUAUGAAGAAGGCCUUCGGGUUGUAAAGUACUUUCAGCGAGGAGGCGUUAAUCGCAGAAGAAGCACCGGCUAAAUCCGUGCCAGCAGCCGCGGUAAUAC